rnacentral:rRNA from 1 species
GAUGAACGCUGGCGGCGUGCUUAACACAUGCAAGUCGAACGGAAAGGCUCCUGCUUGCAGGGGCACUCGAGUGUCGAACGGGUGAGUAACACGCGGGGGAUCUGUCCUGCAUUUCGGGAUAAGCCUGGGGAACUGGGUCGAAUAUCGGGUAUGACGAUGGUUUGGAUGUCAUUGUGGAAAGUGUUUCGGUGUGGGUUGACCACGCGGCCUAUCUGCGUUUUGGUGGGGUAAUGGUCAAGCAAGGCGUCGCCGGGGCGCCGGCCUGUGAGGGUGCUCGGCCACAUUGGGAUUGAGGUGCGGCCCAGACUCCUACGGGAGGCAGCAGUGGGGAAUAGUGCACGAUGGGCGGAAGCCGGAUGCAGCGACGCCGCGUGGGGGAUGACGGCCGUCGGGUUGUAAACUCCUUUCGCUAGGGACGAAGCGCAAGUGACGGUACCUGGAGAAGAAGCACCGGCUAACUACGUG